CUGCAUCCCUCCCCUCUACUUCCGGUAUGUACCGGAAGUGGAAGUGUCUCCCGCCCUCGUCCCUUCCCUGUGACCUGUCAGCCAUGUUGUUCACCGGGACUGUAUGUCUGCUGUUUGCUCCUUCCAACCACAGAAUGGCGAGGAUAUCGCACAGAGCUCGGGUCACAGUACAAAGUGCCCCGAGGUUUCGCGCUCCUUUUCGCGUGUGUACAGAUCAGAGUUCAAACUUCUGAAACCCUGCUGGGCCAGCGCUGAGAAACGACUUAAAAAUUGUAAGUAGCUUCAGAUCUAAACGGGGAAUUUGGGGCCUGGGGAUUUAGCUCAGUGGCACCGCACCUGCCUCGAAAGCGCAAGGUCCUGAGUUCGAUUCCCGGUACCGCCAAAAAAGGGGGUGGGAAUGAUUAAGACUCACCAUAUAAGGACAUGAAAGCUCAGACAGCACAGUGUCAUGAAAAAAGUGACGGAAUGUGUAUUUCUUCCAGAUACCACCCUUACGUUCUUUCUGCAGCUUAUCAUGCAGUGCUGAGGGUAAAACCCAGAGCUUCACAUACAUGCGCUCCACCACUGAGCUGCACACCACCUUCCUUUCCACGUGUCCUAAUGGGCAGUUCUAGAAUGGUGGUUUAGUAAAGCCAAUCUGGAUAUUCUUCAUAGUUUGGGGAGUCAAAAUAGCCUUUCUCUUACAUGAUGACAAUGAUACCACUACAUAGUGUUUGGGAUUUUUUUAGUGGUCUCAAAGCAUCAAUUCCCCCUCACACACAGUUUCUUCUCCUGCUGAUGUUGGAACCCUGAAAGUGUGGAAAAUCUUGGUUCCAACAGUGCUCGUGUGGGCACAUCAUAAAUAUGUCAUACAUGACAACAGAACACAAUAGGAGAGCACCUGUAUUUUUCUGUUCAUAUCAUAGACUAAAGAAUAUGCAAAUGUGAAAACGGUGUUUAGAGUGAUAAAAAUAUA
rnacentral:lncRNA from 1 species